GCUCUCUCAGCUCUGCACAGUCACAUUUGUUGUUCCACGUGUGGCUUUCGUAAUGGGGAGAGAGAGAAAAGAUCUCCUCGGGACCUCAGAGCGGCCUGGUGGUGGCCACUCUUUUCCUUGAGGGGCGCAACAGGU
rnacentral:snoRNA from 1 species